rnacentral:rRNA from 1 species
CGGCCUACCAAGGGUACGAUGGGUAGCUGGUCUGAGAGGAUGAUCAGCCACACUGUAACUGAGACACGGUUCAGACUCCUACGGAGGCAGCAUGGGGAAUAUUGGACAAUGGGCGAAAGCCUGAUCCAGCCACGCCGCGUGGGUGAUGAAGGCCUUCGGGUUGUAAAGCCCUGUCGGGAGGGACGAAUACUGACGGUACCUCCCAAGAAAGCACCGGCUAACUCCGUGCCAGCAGCCGCGGUAAUACGGAGGGGGCUAGCGUUGUUCGGAUUUACUGGGCGUAAAGCGCACGUAGGCGGAUCUUUAAGUCAGAGGUGAAAUCCCAAGGCUCAACCUUGGAACUGCCUUUGAUACUGGGGAUCUCGAGUUCGGGAGAGGUGAGUGGAACUGCGAGUGUAGAGGUGAAAUUCGUAGAUAUUCGCAAGAACACCAGUGGCGAAGGCGGCUCACUGGCCCGAUACUGACGCUGAGGUGCGA